ACCCCUUUAUCCCUUCACUCCUCCUUGCGACUCCAUUAGGAAGAAGCAAAGCAUCAUCGCCAAAAAUCUGUGUAGAGAGAGAUAUGAAGACCAUGAUGAUGAUGAGAGACCACCAUCGGUUGAAGCUGCCAGCAUGAUCUCAACCUGCCUCUUUGACUUCAAUAAUUUGAGGAUGGAUCAGAUCAUGUGGCAUCUUCACCUGUUGCUGGCAUCUCCAGAAACCCUAGAGUCGCACAUGGCUCAGUUGAAGAAUUUGUGGCAGUUUUUCUAGGGUUUUGGUCAUUCAGAACCCUAGAUAGGAGAAAAAAAGUUUUCUAUGCAGUGUUGAUGGGUUUUUGAGGCACAAGAAUGUUUUUUUGGGUCUCGGGGCAGUCCGAUGAUGAUUUUGAGAUCUGUUUUCUAGGGCUUUGAUGAGUGAGCCCCCUUUUUUGGAGUUAGUUAACUUGCUUAUAUAUGCAUCUUCCUUCUCCGACUGUACUUGAUGAAUCUCAUCUCAUGUUAUGUUAUGACUCAGCUCCCGAGUUUUUUUUGCAGAUCUAAGCUUUUCACUUUCACUGGUUUCUGUUCUUUUGGUGAUAUAUGAACAGUUGAUUUAGGGUUUCUCGAGCUCAUAUCAGGUUUUUUAGCUUUUCAGAGAUAUACCAAUUUUCUGCUUACUCUUACCCAUACUCCCAACCUAUUAUGCAGAGGGUCAAUUUUUCAGUAAAUCUGACUCUGAAAUAAAGAGUAUGCUUCAGAAAAAGAGAGAUAUUACAUCUGUUUCAGUGCCUUCUUUGAAUUAAAACUUAUUUCGACAUGGCAAGAUAUAAUUUCUUGAUUUAAGAUCAGUAGAACAAUGAAAGAUGUCUUCAGUAGCUGGGUUUGUAAUUUGUUGCUUAGGAUUUUCUUCGAACGGAUUUUGAUACUCAUUGUAGACGAGUUUUGAUGUGUACUGGACAUGACAUGACAUUAGUGAAACAAAAUUAUGUGCACGUGAAACGAAGAAUGUUUUGGGCACCAUUUUCAUCUGUA